rnacentral:rRNA from 1 species
AACGAACGCUGGCGGCAUGCCUAACACAUGCAAGUCGAACGAGACCUUCGGGUCUAGUGGCGCACGGGUGCGUAACGCGUGGGAACCUGCCCUUAGGUUCGGAAUAACUCCCCGAAAGGGGUGCUAAUACCGGAUAAUGUCUUCGGACCAAAGAUUUAUCGCCUUUGGAUGGGCCCGCGUUGGAUUAGCUAGUUGGUAGGGUAAAAGCCUACCAAGGCGACGAUCCAUAGCUGGUCUGAGAGGAUGAUCAGCCACACUGGGACUGAGACACGGCCCAGACUCCUAAGGGAGGAAGCAGUGGGGAAAAUUGGACAAUGGGCGAAAGACUGAUCCAGCAAUGCCGCGUGAGUGAUGAAGGCCUUAGGGUUGUAAAGCUCUUUUACCCGGGAUGAUAAUGACAGUACCGGGAGAAUAAGCUCCGGCUAACUCCGUG